rnacentral:rRNA from 1 species
AUUGAACGCUGGCGGCAGGCCUAACACAUGCAAGUCGAGCGGAUGAAGGGAGCUUGCUCCUGGAUUCAGCGGCGGACGGGUGAGUAAUGCCUAGGAAUCUGCCUGUUAGUGGGGGAUAACGUCCGGAAACGGGCGCUAAUACCGCAUACGUCCUGAGGGAGAAAGUGGGGGAUCUUCGGACCUCACGCUAUCAGAUGAGCCUAGGUCGGAUUAGCUAGUUGGUGGGGUAAAGGCCUACCAAGGCGACGAUCCGUAACUGGUCUGAGAGGAUGAUCAGUCACACUGGAACUGAGACACGGUCCAGACUCCUACGGGAGGCAGCAGUGGGGAAUAUUGGACAAUGGGCGAAAGCAUGAUCCAGCAAUGCCGCGUGUGUGAAGAAGGUCUUCGGAUUGUAAAGCACUUUAAGUUGGGAGGAAGGGCAGUAAGUUAAUACCUUGCUGUUUUGACGUUAACAACAGAAUAAGCACCGGCUAACUUCGUG